rnacentral:rRNA from 1 species
AUUGAACGCUGGCGGCAGGCCUAACACAUGCAAGUCGAGCGGAUGAAGGGGGCUUGCUCCUGGAUUCAGCGGCGGACGGGUGAGUAAUGCCUAGGAAUCUGACUGGUAGUGGGGGCUAACGUCCGGAAACGGGCGCUAAUACCGCAUCCGUCCUGAGGGUGAAAGUGGGGGAUCUUCGGACAUCACGCUAUCAGCUGAGCCUAGGUCGGAUUAGCUAGUUGGUGAGGUAAAGGCCUACCAAGGCGACGAUCCGUAACUGGUCUGAGAGGAUGAUCUGUCACACUGGAACUGAGACACGGUCCAGACUCCUACGGGAGGCAGCAGUGGGGAAUAUUGGACAAUGGGCGAAAGCCUGAUCCAGCCAUGCCGCGUGUGUGAAGAAGGUCUUCGGAUUGUAAAGCACUUUAAGUUGGGAGGAAGGGCAGUAAGUGAAUACCUGGCUGUUUUGACGUUACCAACAGAGUAAGCACCGGCUAACUUCGUG